rnacentral:lncRNA from 1 species
UCUGGGCUAUAAUUGGUAUGAAACUUGCGCCAGCGACUUUUCCAACAUUUCUGGUCUGGGUUUCAGCUUCGGCUGCAGCUCUAGACGAGAGAUUGUGAAGCUUUCUGGGUUGUAGCACGAGGGAUCAUCAACUCAUCACUUUCCCGGUCCCGGCAGUGCGUUGGGCUCGGUUGCAGUCGACUUCCGAAGGUGUAAUUCGACUUCUUGAGUGGAAGUUUGGUUCUUGUUGGGUAAACCGGAAUCUGUUGCUGGUAUUGAAACUUUUGAAUCAAUUGUUUGUGUGUGCAAUGGAUUGUGGAGUUGUGGCAGAGCUCGGGUUGUCUAGGUUGUGUAUUUAGUUUGUUAAGUUGUUGUAGUUAGCAAGCUGGAAUAUAUUUUGACUUGAAAGUGGUUGCCUUGUUAAAUGGGUAUUGUGUUGUAUGUUUGAAUUGUGGUUGUCUUAUGAAUUGGUUGUGGAAUAAUCGAAAAAUGGUCAAGUUAUGAA